GAUGAACGCUGACAGAAUGCUUAAUACAUGCAAGUCAACUGUGGCGGACGGGUGAGUAACGCGUAAAGAACUUGCCUCACAGAUAGGGACAACAUUAGGAAACGAAUGCUAAUACCUGAUACUGUGAGAGAGUUUUGCGUCCCAUUAGCUAGUGGGAGAGGUAACGGCCCACCAAGGCGAUGAUGGGUAGCCGGCCUGGGAGGGUGAACGGCCACAAGGGGACUGGGACACGGCCCUUACGCCUACGGGAGGCAUCAGUGGGGAAUAUUGGACAAAGGACCAAAGUCUGAUCCAGCAUUUCGGUUUGCACGAUGAAGUUUUCGGAAUGUAAAGUGCUUUCAGUUAGGAAGCGGUACCAACAGAAGAAGUGACGGCUAACUACGUGCCAGCAGCCGCGGUAAUUC
rnacentral:rRNA from 1 species